rnacentral:rRNA from 1 species
AGAGUUUGAUCCUGGCUCAGGACGACCGCUGGCGGCGUGCUUAACACAUGCAAGUCGAACGAUGAUGCUUGGUGCUUGCACUGGGUGGAUUAGUGGCGAACGGGUGAGUAAUACGUGAGUAACCUGCCCCUGUCUUUGGGAUAAGCCUGGGAAACUGGGUCUAAUACUGGAUAUUCUGCUUGAACCGCAUGGUUUUUGUUGGAAAUAUUUUUCGGAUGGGGAUGGGCUCACGGCCUAUCAGCUUGUUGGUGGGGUGAUGGCCUACCAAGGCGUCGACGGGUAGCCGGCCUGAGAGGGUGACCGGCCACAUUGGGACUGAGAUACGGCCCACACUCCUACGGGAGGCAGCAGUGGGGAAUAUUGCGCAAUGGACGCAAGUCUGAUGCAGCGACGCCGCGUGGGGGAUGAAGGCUUUCGGGUUGUAAACUCCUUUCAGUACAGAAGAAGCGAAAGUGACGGUAUGUGCAGAAGAAGCACCGGCUAACUACGUGCCAGCAGCCGCGGUAAUACGGAGGAUGCAAGCGUUAUCCGGAUUUACUGGGUUUAAAGGGUGCGCAGGCGGAACGACAAGUCAGUGGUGAAAUCUCCUGGCUCAACCAGGAAACUGCCAUUGAUACUAUCGUUCUUGAGUCCAGUUGAAGUAGGCGGAAUGUAGCAUGUAGCGGUGAAAUGCUUAGAUAUGCUACAGAACACCGAUAGCGAAGGCAGCUUACUAAACUGAAACUGACGCUCAUGCACGAAAGCGUGGGGAUCAAAAAGGAUUAGAUACCCUGGUAGUCCACGCCCUAAACGAUGAUCACUCGUUGUUGGCAACUAUAUCGUCAGCGACUAAGCGAAAGCAUUAAGUGAUCCACCUGGGGAGUACGAUCGCAAGGUUGAAACUCAAAGGAAUUGACGGGGGCCCGCACAAGCGGAGGAGCAUGUGGUUUAAUUCGAUGAUACGCGAGGAACCUUACCUGGGCUAGAACGCAGAACGACGUUUCGGGAAACCGGAAUUCUCUUCGGAGCGAUCUGCGAGGUGCUGCAUGGUUGUCGUCAGCUCGUGCCGUGAGGUGUCGGGUUAAGUCCCAUAACGAGCGCAACCCCUAUUCUUAGUUGCCAUCAGGUAAUGCUGGGGACUCUAAGAAAACUGCCUACGCAAGUAGUGAGGAAGGUGGGGAUGACGUCAAAUCAGCACGGCCCUUAUGUCCAGGGCUACACACGUGCUACAAUGGCCGGUACAGAGGGCAGCCACCUGGUGACAGGGAGCAAAUCUCCAAAGCCGGUCUCAGUUCGGAUCGAAGUCUGCAACUCGACUUCGUGAAGUUGGAUUCGCUAGUAAUCGUAUAUCAGCAACGAUACGGUGAAUACGUUCCCGGGCCUUGUACACACCGCCCGUCAAG